CCGCUUGGAGAGGGGGCACAGUGCUGCUGUUUGUGCGCAGCCGAUUGCGCCGGGAGUGAGUGGAAUUGGCAACCCCAAACAGAUCCCUACGGCGACGAUCUGGUGGCCUGGAAAGGAUGGAAAAAGAAAACGUGUUUGGUCUGGCUUCGUGGGUUUGGUGUCCUCUUCCUGGUCUCCCACACCUAUGGCAGCUAUCCUUAUGGGAAUCUUCAGCUCUGCAGGAGGGAGAAAAGGAUGUGUAGUCAACAACUAGGAGGAGGUGACCAACGCACCACCAACUGUGUAGACGAGUUGGAGUACGCUCGCACAUCUUGAGGCAUGGAUGGAGCUGAGAGAAGGAGACACACACACACACACAAAAGAUUAUCCUUAUCCGAGAUGCCGAUCACCAUGUGCUGCUUCGUAAACCUUGAUUUCUAAGAACUUUUGGGGAAACGUCUCUCCUCCGGGCUGCGUUGCAGAGUCAGUGCAGAUGUGAUUCACUGACCUCCUGCUAUGUCUUUACAGUGCAGCUGGAUUUGUUUAAAGCCAUCUUUCAUUACAUCUAAUUGUAUUAUAGCUUUUGUAAAUCAGUUUUGAUCCAGCUUUUGAGCUGCAGCUGUGUUUAUUUCCUCUCCAUUUCCUCACGGUAUAUUUGGAUUAAAACCAGAAAUGUCUUCACACUGUCAUCAUAAAACAGUCAAUCAUUCAUCUGAAAUGAGCACAAAUGUGAACUGAACAUUGGCCGUCAGUAAGCGUGUUCUGGUGAGAGCGCAUGUCACAGAGAUGAAAGCGUAGUUCAGUUUUCAGCUUCUAGCUUUGACACAACCACUGACUGAUGCUGUGGACACUACUAUUCACUGUGGCCUGAUUCAGCAACGUGCUCACUCUCACACUAGCAGCCUCCCAAGGCUCACAGAAAUGUUCAUUUUUCACCAAUGCCAGUGAAUAGAUACCGCAUAUUAACAUCUGAAAUGUUUACCUGAAGG